CACGGCUUGAGAAAUGAGCUGGGAGGACAAAACUAGACCAGAAGAGUUAUAAAUGUGCGUAUCCCAUCUGCAAGAGCUGACGACGUUUCUGUCCUUUUGACAGCUUUUCUCGGGUACUGCGGGAAACAGUGAGAGCACUAGCCCCCCAGAGUGACGUGGCGUUCAUGCUGUCAGAAGACGGCAGUGGAAAGGGAGCGGCACUCAUUACUGCUGUGGCCAAGAGGACACAGCAGUCACGGAAGGAGAACUAGGAGUCCCCAAGGUCGGGCCUGACGCACCUCGGAUACUCACCAGCCCUUCCUCUGGCAGAUGAGUGGGUCAGGCACCAAAAGGCCACCUCCCGACGGACUUCACCUUCUUGGUGGCUGAAAGAGGACCCCAGGUUCUCGGGUACUCUUAGCAUCUUGUUACUGGCUUUGCAGUGGCAUUAUAUGACAUCUCCAUUCGGUAUGUUUGGGCCAACAACAGCCCAACUUGUGAAAUUGAAGUCUCUGGCCUGAGAGAUCCCCUUUCUGUAAAUGGAGUCCUGAGCGCCAGUUCUCUGUGGCUCUGGGUCCAGUGGCUGCUGGGCUUGGGAACACAAUCAGUCUGCCCCCAUGGCCCGGGUGACUGAGUUCCUCCCGGAGAUGCUCGAGGAGUACCCUGGGUUGUCCACUUGUCAAUGAACAAUUCAGAGGAUGAGAGACUCAUGCAAUAAACCAGGGGAUUAUAAUCUAACUUGUGGCUCAACUCAUCACGUUGACUUCAAAUGUGAGGCAAGAACAAAGACUUUGGAGUGUUCAGCCCGAGAGGCAGAGGGGCUGGUUGGCCAGUGCCCCACGGGAGUCAUUCCGUGCUUGCAGGAAGCUGUACAAGCACCCUGUGGGAUCUUGUUCCUCAGUGUGGGUCACGGCAUGUGCUUGAGACAUCUUUUUCGUGGUUGCGUUGCUGCGUUGAUGGCUUUUCAAGGUCUGCUAGGUAUAUGAAAUCCAGCCACUGAAUAAAAAAAACAUUUGGUUUCCCAAGAAACUUGGCAUGAGG
rnacentral:lncRNA from 1 species